rnacentral:misc_RNA from 1 species
GAAAUGCGAUAAGUAAUGUGAAUUGCAGAAUUCAGUGAAUCAUCGAAUCUUUGAACGCACAUUGCGCCCGCCAGUAUUCUGGCGGGCAUGCCUGUUCGAGCGUCAUUUCAACCAUCAAGCCCCCGGCUUGUGUUGGGGACCUGCGGCUGCCCGCAGGCCCUGAAAAACAGUGGCGGGCUCGCUGUCACACCGAGCGUAGUAGCAUACAUUCCCGCUCAGGGCGUGCUGCGGGUUCCGGCCGUUAAACGACCUUCAUAACCCAAGGUUGACCUCGGAUCAGGUAGGAAGACCCGCUGAACUUAAGC